UAGCGGCGCAGUUGUGUGCCAGCUGCCCGCUUCCGUAGAAUAUAGAGAGUUAUGAAUUACAUUGCAACAAAAGCUUCCCAGUGGGAAUAUAUUACGUAUACGCUUGCGUGCGUACGCAUAAGUUUUCUACGCGGCCCCACUGCACCUCGACGGAUUAUGGGAAAUUACCGGCAGUCACUGGCGCUUGCGGUGCACGUAGCUUAGGCGAACCCAUAUUGAUUGUACCGUUUAGCGAGGAACAAGGGUUUGAAAAUGCUAAGAGAGGACGGUACCUGCAUAAUCUGGUGGUGGAAGGAAGAGUCGGGCGGCGCUCGCGGCGGGGACGGAGAGCGGCCCGUGCCCCCGCCCCCUUCUGCACCGCCGGUAUCCCGCGACAUCUCUGCAAAACAAUAUAUAUAUAUGUGUGUAAAUAUCGUGUAACAAAACGUGCGCGUGUUGUGUGCUACGCAAAAAUAAGUAUUGAUAGAGUACAUAAUAAAAAUAUCACUUUUUUA